ACGAAAUGGGAAAAGCAAAACGAUAAAUAAAUAUGUAGUUGGGGCUUCCAACUUCUAUCUCUCGCUUUCUCUCUAGAAGCUUUGAAUAUCUUUUUAUUUUUAGUUUUUUAGUUUUUUUUUUUUUCGUUGUUUCUUCUAUCUCAAUUUUCCAAAUCUCCGGGGAGAAAAAUUUUCUGAUAUCGGAAAGCUCAGAGAGUUGAUCGUUGAAGAAAACUUUUCUCUCCCGGAACAAAAUAAAAAAAUAAAAAAAAAAAAAAAAUAAAAAGCGGUUCGGCGACUCUCGUUUUCAGGUAACUCGUCUGCAUUGAUCGUUGGAUAUAUUUUUUAUGUAUGCAUGCACACAGUGUAUAUGCGUGAUUGGAAUUAGGGCUUGAUCGAACGUGAAUUGGUAGUUUUUUGUGAUUUGCAGGGGUAUUGUUGUGUAUAUUGCGUGUUUUGCUUGUGGAUAAGGGAGAUUUGACGUGUUAGUGGCGAGGGAGGAGUGAUUGAAGAGGGAGGGAUCGAAGCUUGGUUGUAUUGGUUUAUUAUUACUCCGUAUUAUUUUUUGUUUGAUUGCGUUUUUGUUUUUGUUGAGUGAUUGAUUACGGUGUGUUUGGAUUUGAGGCCGGAUGUGGCAUUAAUAAGACUAUGGGAUCUGAGAAUAUGUCGCCGUCCACUAGCAUGGCGCAAUGUUGCGAUUGCGAUUGCAGCUGUUCGGCGGCGGACAGAUCCAUUGCAGGGUCGUGGCUCCGCUCUGUUAAGCGAAAGUAUGAUGAAUUUGAUGAUUCUGUGUCUUCUGUCCCGGAGUUCGUCAUGCCUCUGACGGCGAAGGUUGAGAUCGGGAAUGAAUGUGCUGCUCUGCGUGAAAUGGUGAGCGGCCAGCAGAAGAGCAUUCAGGAUUUGAGUAAGGAGUUGGAUGCGGAGAGGAAUGCAUCCUCCUCUGCAGCCAAUGAGGCGAUGCAAAUGAUCCUGAGGCUGGAAAGAGAAAAGGCCGAGAUUCAGAUGGAAUUCACGCAAUUCAAGAGAUUUACUGAGGAGAAAACCGCGCACGAGCAGCAAGAGGCGUUGUCAUUGGAGGACCUGUUGUAUAAGAGGGAUCAAGCAAUUGAAGCUUUGACAUGUGAGGUGCAAAUGUACAAGCACAGGAUGUUGAGUUUGGGGUUCACAGAGUCUGAGGUUGAGGUAGAGCUUGAGAAAGAGAGGGAUCGUUUGAGCUGCAAUAAUAGCCUCUCCGAGAAUUCAAAUGGACAAUCUGAAGUCCCUCAAUAUGAGUAUCCCCCACUAAAAUGCUUCAAUGAGAAUCAAGUUUACAAGCUGACUGAUGGUGAGGAUGUGGAUGUCGAGAAAUAUGCAUUUGGGGAGACCCCACGCACCCCGGUCGACCAUUUCCUGGAUUUGGACAGUAGGAUCAUCCAGUUGGAAAGGAGUCCUAUGAGUCCUAGGAUCGCCCAAUUGGAAAGGAGUCCUAUGAGUCCUAGGAUCGCCCAAUUGGAAAGGAAUCCUAUGAGUCCUAGGAUCAGUCAUCCUGAUGGUGAUUUCUAUAAGAACAAUGCCCUUGAAAAGGUGAUAGUUGGUCAAUCUCCAAGGAGGCCAAGUCAUUUGAAGAUGUUUUCAAAUGAUAGUGCAGGAUCUUUACUCAUAACAAAUAAAGAAAUGAGUUAUGAUUUUGUAGUCGAGUCUCCAAAGUCCACUGUCAGUUUUAAGAAGACAGAAAUUUCUCAGAAAGACGAUCUUUCAAACUUGAGGAAAGUGGAUAAUGCAUCAGAAGUUGAAGAUUGCAUGAGUGACAGAGUUUAUACAAUCGAUCCCAUUCAUCUAGGGGCCGCACCUUAUAAUGGUGUGAUAGAUCGUAAGCCAUCCCUUGGAAUCUGUGAGGAUUAUAUUACAACCCCACGGGAUUCAUUGAUUUAUACAAACACAGAAGACAUUGAUAUCAAGAAGCUGUAUGCAAGGCUUCAUGCACUUGAGGCUGAUCGGGAGUCAAUGAGGCAGGCAUUAAUUUCAAUUAGCACUGAUAACUCACAACUGGUAUUGCUGAAAGAGAUUGCCCAACAGUUGGCAAAAGACAUGUCACAACCGAAGAGGAGAUUUGUGAAGAAACCAUCCACCACUGGCAGCUUUAAAGUUGUCUCAAUAUUCAAGUGGAUGAUAUCCUUUGUGUCAUGGAGAAAGAAAUCACGCCGAUGCAAGUACAUGUUUGGAUUGUCAGGAAGCAAUGCAGGCUUGCUAGUGCUUUUAGACAAGGGACCUCGAGGUCCCUGGAGGUGCAUUUCAAGCACACAGGUCUGAAACCUGUUUCCAUAUCAAUGCAGAGAGAGGAUUUUUGGCUGACCUCUCACUCUUGGCAUUUCAUUCAUUUUAAAAAAAAAAAAUUAAUAACUUUUUUGAUUCAAUGAUCCUGAAAAAUUGAGGCAAGUAGUCUUUCACUUAAAAGUUUGAAUGAUAAAAUUUUGUUGACUGGGGAGUGGAAGGCUAGAUUCAGUAAUGCCACGUGGGAGGUUGUGCUUAUGUGGCUGUUCUAGACGACGACCUAC